rnacentral:rRNA from 1 species
UACGUAGGUGACAAGCGUUGUCCGGAAUCAUUGGGCGUAAAGCGCGCGUAGGCGGCCCGGUAAGUCCGCUGUAAAAGUCCAGGGCUCAACCCUGGAAAGCCGGUGGAUACUGUCGGGCUAGAGUCCGGAAGAGGCGAGUGGAAUUCCUGGUGUAGCGGUGGAAUGCGCAGAUAUCAGGAGGAACACCGAUGGCGAAGGCAGCUCGCUGGGACGGUACUGACGCUGAGGCGCGAAAGCGUGGGGAGCGAACAGG